rnacentral:ncRNA from 1 species
AAACAGGCAGAGAAAAGAAGAAGUAGCAACAAAUCAGGUUCGUACAGAAAGUAACCGGCUGAUGAGAGGUGCAGGAAAAGUUUGUUGUGAAUACAUCUUGGAGCUUCACACCGAAAGGGAAGUAGGCUGUGACGUCAGGCACACGUUACCGUGCCGGGAGAUUUCCGGGGUCCUUUUGGAUCAGGAGAUGUCCUGUUAAGCCGGAGCUGUUCCGGGAAUUAAGGUGGUACCACGAGUUUUCCCCUCGUCCUUUCU